CCUUCGGGGAAAGUUGAGACAGGUGGUGCAUGGUUGUCGUCAGCUCGUGUCGUGAGAUGUUGGGUUAAGUCCCGCAACGAGCGCAACCCUUAUAUUUAGUUGCCAGCACUUCGGGUGGGCACUCUAGAUAGACUGCCGGUGACAAACCGGAGGAAGGUGGGGAUGACGUCAAAUCAUCAUGCCCCUUAUGACCUGGGCUACACACGUACUACAAUGGCCGGUACAACGGGCAGCGAAAUCGCGAGAUGGAGCCAAUCCCAGCAAAGCCGGUCUCAGUUCGGAUUGCAGGCUGCAACUCGCCUGCAUGAAGUCGGAAUUGCUAGUAAUCGCGGAUCAGCAUGCCGCGGUGAAUACGUUCCCGGGUCUUGUACACACCGCCCGUCACACCACGAGAGUUUAUAACACCCGAAGUCGGUGGGGUAACCGCAAGGAGCCAGCCGCCGAAGGUGGGAUAGAUGAUUGGGGUGAAGUCGUAACAAGGUAGCCGUAUCGGAAGGUGCGGCUGGAUCACCUCCUUU
rnacentral:rRNA from 1 species